rnacentral:rRNA from 1 species
UUCGGGGGGACGAGGGUGACGAGGUGGUGCAUGGUUGUCGUCAGCUCGUGUCGUGAGAUGUUGGGUUAAGUCCCGCAACGAGCGCAACCCUCGACCUUAGUUGCCAGCAUUCAGUUGGGCACUCUAAGGUGACUGCCGGCUAAAAGUCGGAGGAAGGUGGGGAUGACGUCAAAUCAUCAUGCCCCUUAUGACCUGGGCUACACACGUGCUACAAUGGGCGGUACAAAGGGUCGCGAACCCGCGAGGGGGAGCCAAUCCCAAAAAGCCGCUCUCAGUUCGGAUUGCAGGCUGCAACUCGCCUGCAUGAAGCCGGAAUCGCUAGUAAUCGCGGAUCAGCAUGCCGCGGUGAAUACGUUCCCGGGCCUU